rnacentral:rRNA from 1 species
CUACGGGGGGCAGCAGUGGGGAAUAUUGCACAAUGGGCGCAAGCCUGAUGCAGCCAUGCCGCGUGUAUGAAGAAGGCCUUCGGGUUGUAAAGUACUUUCAGCGGGGAGGUAGGGAGUAAAGUUAAUACCUUUGCUCAUUGACGUUACCCGCAGAAGAGGCACCGGCUAACUCCGUGCCAGCAGCCGCGGUAAUACGGAGGGUGCAAGCGUUAAUCGGAAUUACUGGGCGUAAAGCGCACGCAGGCGGUUUGUUAAGUCAGAUGUGAAAUCCCCGGGCUCAACCUGGGAACUGCAUCUGAUACUGGCAAGCUUGAGUCUCGUAGAGGGGGGUAGAAUUCCAGGUGUAGCGGUGAAAUGCGUAGAGAUCUGGAGGAAUACCGGUGGCGAAGGCGGCCCCCUGGACGAAGACUGACGCUCAGGUGCGAAAGCGUGGGGAGCAAACAGGAUUAGAUACCCUCGUAGUC